CGUAGGCGGAAAUUUCAAAAUACGGUAAAAGACUGAGGUUGACCCUCUUUAAUCCGUAUUUACUGGUUUUCUUGAGUUCUAAUGGGAGGUUUGAAUUCCUUAAGUAGGAGUAAAAUUGUUGAUAUUGGAAGACAUUCGAAGGCGGAAGCGAUAAUCGAGUUAGAUCUGACGCUAAGGUACUAAAGCAUGGGUAUGAAAAGGAUUAGAGACCUUGUAGUCCAUGCCUUAAACAAUGAGUGUUCAACGUCCUUGAACAAACUGUUAAAAAAUUAUCUGUAGGGAUAAUUACAAUAAAUCGGUGGGAGUUUGAGGGGGUUUACAGCUAACGCGUGAAACACCGCCUGGGGAAUGUGGCCGCAAGGUUAAACUCAAAGGAAUUGACG
rnacentral:rRNA from 1 species